AUUGAACGCUGGCGGCAGGCCUAACACAUGCAAGUCGAGCGGAUGAAGAGAGCUUGCUCUCUGAUUUAGCGGCGGACGGGUGAGUAAUGCCUAGGAAUCUGCCUGGUAGUGGGGGAUAACGUCCGGAAACGGGCGCUAAUACCGCAUACGUCCUACGGGAGAAAGCAGGGGACCUUCGGGCCUUGCGCUAUCAGAUGAGCCUAGGUCGGAUUAGCUAGUUGGUGAGGUAAUGGCUCACCAAGGCUACGAUCCGUAACUGGUCUGAGAGGAUGAUCAGUCACACUGGAACUGAGACACGGUCCAGACUCCUACGGGAGGCAGCAGUGGGGAAUAUUGGACAAUGGGCGAAAGCCUGAUCCAGCCAUGCCGCGUGUGUGAAGAAGGUCUUCGGAUUGUAAAGCACUUUAAGUUGGGAGGAAGGGCGGCAAGUUAAUACCUUGCUGUUUUGACGUUACCGACAGAAUAAGCACCGGCUAACUUCGUGCCAGCCGCCGCAGUAACAC
rnacentral:rRNA from 1 species